GGUGACUCAGUGGUAGAGUGCUUGCCUCAUAUGCAUGAGGCCAUGAGUUUGAUUUCUCAGCACCA
rnacentral:tRNA from 1 species